CGGGACGGGUGAGUAACGCGUGGAUAACCUGCCUCACACUGGGGGAUAACAGUUAGAAAUGGCUGCUAAUACCGCAUAAGCGCACAGUACCGCAUGGUACGGUGUGAAAAACCCAGGUGGUGUGAGAUGGAUCCGCGUCUGAUUAGCCAGUUGGCGGGGUAACGGCCCACCAAAGCGACGAUCAGUAGCCGACCUGAGAGGGUGACCGGCCACAUUGGGACUGCGACACGGCCCAA
rnacentral:rRNA from 1 species